rnacentral:lncRNA from 1 species
AUGCCUCACUGCUGCUCUGUGACGUCCCAAAAGUUUUCAAGACUCUUCUGUUGUGAUUUUCAGUUCUUUGCUCCAGCAGGAUUUGCAUCAGUCAAAGAGCAGCCAAGGUCCCCCCAUCCUGACCAUCCCCACGAAAUCUGCCUUUUACAAAUCUGCCUUUCAGCUGGAAAAUACCUGCUCUGGGGAGGCUUCCCUGCCUUGUCCUCCAUUCUCUGCAUCCAUUCCAGAAGUGCCCUGAUCCAGGCAGGAGGGCUCAGCACCGGUGCUCAGCACCCUGAGCCAGGCAGGAAUGCCCAGGAAGGCUGGAAGUGUCUGCAGGAUGGGAUGAGCUGGAUGCAGACCUUGGCCCUCAGCACCAACCACAGAUCCCGAGAACAGACAGAUGAGGAGAAUCAUCCUCGCAAGGAGGAAUUAGUAAUGAGCCCGCUCAGACCUGGCGUUUGCUCUGUCGCCGCUCCCAGUUCCCACGGCCUGCAGGCAAACACCAAAUCCCUGGAGAUGCUGCACAGGCCGGGAUCAGUGGCUGGUUACCGGGACGUGCAGCCACACAGCACAGCCCUGAGCACAGCACAGUCAAUUAUUCAGCCAAAAGCAGUCCAGCCACUCGCAUCAACCCCUUUCUGUGCCGUGAAAACAGGGGGUUGGGGUCUCCCAGGGACUGAAGGUCGUGGCAUUGCUCAGGUCCCAGAAAAAACCCCUGCAGCUGGAGCAGGGAGCGGUGCUUUGUUCCCCCACAGCUCUGCAGAGGCAGUGGCAGCACCACAGAGCCCACUCCUGGUGGUGUCUGUGGCCUUGGGCCAGCAGGACCCCCCCUGCACCUGCCCUGCUUUGGGCACCUCCCAGGGACCAGAAUCCAUGAACUGGGUGGCACAAGGAGCAGGAGAGUGGCACUAACUGUGGCUGUGCCUCACAGGGGAGGUGACAGCCCCCUCCCAGCCCACCCUGCUCCUCCCUGGUGCUCCAGGCUUGGCUUCCUCCGCAGAGGCUGCUUGCUCUCUUUGUGGGGGGAAAAGGGGAUUUGUACUAAAGCUCUUUGCAUGAAAAAAUAAAAUCCAUCCUGUGCUGCUUUGCUCUGCCCCG